rnacentral:rRNA from 1 species
GAUGAACGCUGGCGGCGUGCCUAAUACAUGCAAGUCGAGCGAACGGACGAGAAGCUUGCUUUUCUGAUGUUAGCGGCGGACGGGUGAGUAACACGUGGAUAACCUACCUAUAAGACUGGGAUAACCUCGGGAAACCGGAGCUAAUACCGGAUAAUAUUUUGAACCGCAUGGUUCAAAAGUGAAAGACGGUCUUGCUGUCACUUAUAGAUGGAUCCGCGCUGCAUUAGCUAGUUGGUAAGGUAACGGCUUACCAAGGCAACGAUGCAUAGCCGACCUGAGAGGGUGAUCGGCCACACUGGAACUGAGACACGGUCCAGACUCUACGGGAGGCAGCAGUAGGGAAUCUUCCGCAAUGGGCGAAAGCCUGACGGAGCAACGCCGCGUGAGUGAUGAAGGUCUUCGGAUCGUAAAACUCUGUUAUUAGGGAAGAACAUAUGUGUAAGUAACUGUGCACAUCUUGACGGUACCUAAUCAGAAAGCCACGGCUAACUACGUG